rnacentral:lncRNA from 1 species
GUUUGAGCUUUAAUUUUUCUACUUAAUUUUAACUUUGUUAUUUUACUUUUUUUUUAAUGUGAAAAAUUGAAGUCUUGCCUUUCCAAAAUGUAUUACUUACAAUGCUGACUGUCAACAUGUUACAAGUCUUAAUUGGCAGUUAGGCAUUUUUCAAUAAAUUAAUCUUGAUUGUAGUCAACGACCCAUUUUUAAAAACUUGUGUACAUUUG